UUCAGCUCAACUGUGGAAGCAAGUGUCCGCUCGUUUCUGUUCAGCGAACAUCAAAAACCACCGUUUUCCACUAAGCUGAAAGCAGAGUUCGGUCAGUAACAGAGAGAUGGGCUCGUAAAGUUGGUUCUUGUGGUCGCACACGUUUCAUCCAGGGAACGUAAAGUCUAUGGAAUCAUGAAGUUUGAUGACACCUUAUGAGGACUUCAUAAGGAUGAAGCAGAGAGGUGGGGGACACACAGCAGUCCCUCAGGACUGAUGAUCCACUGUGGAGAAUGUUGUCUUCUUUUUUUGUAUUCAGAAUAUUUGGUUCUGGUUGGAUUUUACAUCAAAUCACAUUCAGUUUACCAGUUUAAUUUUUAUUGUUUUAUGUUUCUAUUGUUGUAUAUUUGUUGUGGUACAGACCCGAGCAAGGUGAGCUUAUUUGAUCAUUUUCAUAUUUUUAUUUAUUUUUAUUUUUCUGUUACUGGUAGUUGUUGACAAACUGAUUUGGUUUUGGCAGACAAUGAAAAGUAAAGCAUGUUGGCUUCAACCGAUGAAGCAAUGAGUUUGCAGGAAAUUCAACAGAAGUCAGAAGCUUUAUCAGUGACGUGUUUGUUCCAGUGAUUCACAGAA